rnacentral:rRNA from 1 species
UACGUAGGUGGCAAGCGUUGUCCGGAAUUAUUGGGCGUAAAGGGUGCGUAGGCGGUCUAUUAAGUCUUAUUUGAAAGGUCAUGGCUUAACCAUGGAUGGUGAUAGGAAACUGAUAGACUUGAGUACAGGAGAGGAAGGUGGAAUUCCACGUGUAGCGGUGAAAUGCGUAGAUAUGUGGAGGAACACCAGUGGCGAAGGCGGCCUUCUGGCCUGUGUCUGACGCUGAGGCACGAAAGCGUGGGUAGCAAACAGG